GAUACCAUUCUGACAGAAAAAUUUUAAUUCUUUUUGGUUUUGUCUCAUUGCCCAGGCUGGCCUUGAUCUUCUUGCCUCCAUCUCGUAAGCGUUAGGGUGCAUCACUUCUAUGUAAGAUGCAGAGACAGGAAAAAAAAUACCCCUUACAGAUGUAAAGCCUUAGAAGUCCCCGUAAUGCUCACGUUAGGAGGGAAUGAAAAACCAGAAGUGGCAAAAAAAGAAGUUUCAGGGCUGAUGGCUGUGUUCUUCAUCUGAAUGCUGGCUACAAAGACAAUUUAUAAAAAUUAAUAUGCCUAAACACCAUUUACUUUUCUGUAACAUAUACGAGAAAAUGAGAGGAAUUAGUCCAGGUCUUUGAAUCACCCCGAUUAAACAAUAAAGAGACCCAGAAUAGCAGGUUGGAUUAGGAAGCAAGAAUGAUACUUUUGCUGCCUCUAAGAAACACCUUACCGUUUCCUUAGGCAAAGGGAUGGAAACCAUUUCUCCAAGCAAACGGAACCCAGGAACGAACAGGAGGAAGGCACUCAGGAGACAGGAUGAGUGAUGAUGUGGAUGAGACCCAGGAGGAGGCAGCCCCACCCGCAGAAGCCUUCCUGAAAGUGGACCGACUGUGGACAUUAAGUCAUCCUGUAGGAUUCCCUUCCCGGCGUCACCUCCAUAAGCUUCUGACAGCACGUGCUCACUCUUCCCAGCAGAUGCUGACAAGUGAGCUUCUGGGAAGUCAGCGUGGCCUACAAAGGCAAAGCCAGCCUGGUCCAUGCUAGCCGCGGUGCCACAGGCUCCCUGGAGACUCUGUGUGCGGGACACAUAAGGAAAAUUGGAAGCCAGGCAUGAUGGGACACACCUGUAGUAACAGCAGCUAGGAAGACUGAGGACUGUUCAUGAAUUCAAGGCCAACACAGCAAGCUCCAGGCCAGCCUGAACUGUAGGCUUCUACUCAGAGUGUGGUGGAGCACGGAGCAAUGAUUACGCCUCAAGUAUCUGUGGAACCCAGUUAAGUGCACAGCGCUAAGAUUAUAUAAACAACAGACUCGGCCAUGUCCCGGGCUAGCCGUGACUGAAAUAACAGUCCCCGUCUUCUGCUUCCUUUCAUCUCCCUCUUCAAGUCACUUGGACCUGAGGAGCUCCUUUCCCGCCCAGCCUGCCUUGCAUUUGCUCAUCAAAGUGACAGGAGUUCACCCAGGAGCAGUUUUUGGCCCUUGAUGUCACUUCCCACUGAGACUUGAGAGAGUUUGUUUCUGUUCCCAAAUGGAGCGGCACUGGAAAUGAAAAAGAGUGAGCGAGAGAGAAAAAGUUCGGCAGCCAGGAAGUGACCUCAUUUCUCUAAUUAGGUUUUUCGAGUUUAAGCUGCUUGUUGGUCUGGGCCCUUGGUGCCCUCCUUCUUCUGCGAGUCUUCAAUUAUAGAAGUUAGAGCCCACAAAGAAUUUCCUUUUUUUUUUUUUUUUUUUUGAAUGAGGAAACUCUUAGAGAAAAGUGGAAAAGAAACCCAAGAUCUGUGAAAAUAAAAUUGUAUUUAAAAGUUUUAGAAAGUCAUCACUUGGCAUCAUUUAGUCAAACCACAGUAGUAAUCAUUUCAGGCAAGAGGCUGGAAAUUGGCAAGUAAGGAAUGGCAAAGAUCGGGGCAUAGAGCAUAGAGCAUUUCUACAGAUGAUAGGCACGUACUAAUUACUAAGUACUAAUUACAGUGAGAAAGUGAAGGAUUCCCUGCUGCAGAAUUCUGACAGAGGCACCUAAGUCUGAUAAUCAAAACAACCUGCCUCAGGGCAAGUGGCUAAGUGGCUCCAGAGUG